ensembl:lncRNA
CUGCUGACCUGCCUAUGGAGUUCCAGGAGAAGGGGGGGCGGGCUGCAGGGGGAAGCCCACCACUGCCCAUUGUCAAGACAGAAGGAAACAGAUGAAUUCCCAGGGAAACCGGACUGUAGGAAAAUGGGAAUGAAAGACAUCCAGGUCUGCAGUUUCCUGUUCUCGAAGCCUUUCAGCCUAGGAGGGAGCUCCCUCUGCCCAUCCCAUGAGCCCCAGGUGGUGGUGGGCUCUGAGAAGACAACAGGAACCUGUGUGAGGGCCACGGGCACACGACCUGUGCACUGCCCUGCCUUUGGACUCAGCCCUCCAUCCUUAGCAAGAUGCUUCUGAGCACUUGUUUCUCCCUCCCCCUCUCCUGCCUAAAGGAGGAUGGGGGUUUGGAGACCUCAGUCCAACCCCAAAGACGAGGACAGCUCAUUUCAUAAUACAAUUGGUGAUAACAAUGACCAAUACAAUAUGUGAGGGGUGUGUGGGGUUUUUCUGGGGGUGUAUGUGUGUGUGUUUGCUGCCCCUCGGCAUAUGGAGUUCCCCUGCCGGGGGUCAGAUCCCAGCGAGGUUGCAACCUAUGCCUGUGGCAACGCCAGAUCCUUUGAACCACUUCCCCUCCCACCCCGCCCCCGUGCUGGGCCAAUAAUUGAAUCUGCCUCCCAGGACUCCAGAGAUGCCUCAGAUCCCUUUGUGCCACAGCAGGCACUCCUAAUGUGUGUUCUUAGGUGAUGAUAACAAUAUAUUGUGCUUAAUGCAUCUCAUUUAAUCUCAACAAUCCUAUGAUGUCUCACUGUUCCCAGUUUAUAGGAAAGAAAACUGAGAUGCAGAGAUAAGGUGUGGAUCUUGAGCGCAGCCCCAGGAAGCUGUCCUGAACUUACUCUAAGGACAGACUGGGGGGGGGAGCCUUCCUCCCCUACAAAGAUCAAGGCCAGGCAUGGUGGAAAGGGGGAUGGAAUAGAGCACUGGGAAGGAAAUCUGGCAAAAAGUUGGUGAGGAGGCUUCUUUGCCUCUUGUCCCACCAUCCUGGCCCUGCUGCCUCCACCUGCAGGAGACAGCCAGGUGUGGCCCAGGAUCCCGGGAGGCGCAGGGGAAGGGGGUGGCGUCUCUGCUCCUGGGGCGCUGGCCCGUCCCAGAGGGGACAGGAAGCCAGGACACCGGGGAUUGUCUCUCACAGCCGCAGCCCCAGCCGGGGAGGAAGUUCUGCCGGGUGCUCUCCGCUGGUGCCUCCCUCGCUAUAUUGUUGAACAGGAAACAGGGCAGCGCGGGAGCUGGGCGGUGGAGGAGGGAGCGCCGGACGCCGAGCCCCGUGCGCCCGCCGGGACAAGUGGAGGCGAGGCCAGCGAGCGGACACCCCGAGCUCCGGCUCCCUGAGGUCUCUCCAGCCGAACUCUUGGAAGCCCCGCCCAAGGAGAUGGCGGGGACCUAACCUGCAUCCAUCCGCCGGCUCCGCCCUGCCAGCCCAUGGGCUCAGUGAGGCCCGCCCUGCCCACGUGAGUGAGCGGCGGGGGUCCGGGGGAAGGUGGUGAGAAAAGAUGUCCUCUCUUGGAUUGUUGGCUUAGCUCCGGUCAGCUCACCGACGCCCACCCCCUCCAGGGCUCCGUGUGCUCAGUCACUCCUUUUAUACCCCUUACCCAUCAAGGAAAGCUUGAGAAACAGAAGGAGGAGCGCUUUGCGCCCCGCCGGCCGACCGUGUACCUUGGGUCCCUCAGAUUCUGCAAGAGGCUGAGCUCCCAGCUGCCAGUCACAGGCCAUCUUUGUGGGGCAGUAGGUGUUGUCGAUGUAAAGGCUUGAAGGGACCAGCCACAAAGCAGAUUUACAAUUAGACUCUGACCCCCUCCCCCAACACACUAGGGGCCAAGCGGGUUGUGGUGGUCACUCCAGGAGAACCUGAGGGGCCCCUGGGUACAUCGCAGGGGUAGUCACUGUCAUAAGUGCAUGGUCUAGGGGCCACUCUCAUG